rnacentral:rRNA from 1 species
GGAAUUCAGUAGUGAUUCAGGCCUAACACAUGCAAGUCGAGCGGUAGAGAGAAGCUUGCUUCUCUUGAAAAAGGCGGACGGGUGAGUAAUGCCUAGGAAUCUGCCUGGUAGUGGGGGAUAACGUUCGGAAACGGACGCUAAUACCGCAUACGUCCUACGGGAGAAAGCAGGGGACCUUCGGGCCUUGCGCUAUCAGAUGAGCCUAGGUCGGAUUAGCUAGUUGGUGAGGUAAUGGCUCACCAAGGCUACGAUCCGUAACUGGUCUGAGAGGAUGAUCAGUCACACUGGAAGGGAGACACGGUCCAGACUCCUACGGGAGGCAGCAGUGGGGAAUAUUGGACAAUGGGCGAAAG